AUUUUGUAGAGAUUAUUACUAGACAAUGUGGGCUAGAUUUAUCAAGCCAUUUGCACCUGUUUUCAGGCGUUAA